GUUAGAAUCUAGCCCCGGCAGGGAGGGUGGGCGUGGCAGUGCGACUAACGGGGCGAAGGGCUGCAGGGAUUCUCGUGAAUCUCUUCAAGACUGAGGGGCGGCUGCUGGUCGGGAGACGGGCAUUUGUAUCGCCACGGCGCCCAGCCCACGGUGAGCCUGCACGGAAGCUGUUGCUACUGAGAGAUGGUUGUCUCCUGUCCAUAUUUUGCCCCACAUUGGCUGGGGAAGGUGACACUUGCUGUCCAUGCAUCAGAUCCUCUGGAGCAGUUAAUCCAGCAUUUAGCAAAAGUAAUAAUAACAUAGAAAGCUUGUGCAGACAAUGUCAAGUGCUAGCUCAAAGUAGAGCAUUUAGAAUUGUUUAAAUUGAAAUAAUAACUUAAUCCAAAAAAAGAAAAGAGAUUUGUCCCAUAGGCUGAAAGUAUUUUCUUUAGCAGAUUUUUAUCAAACAUUUAAAAGCUUGAAUUGUUUUCUUUAAAGUCAUUAAGUACAGAAAUGUGUCGAGGUUUUAUUGCUAUGCUCAACUGUUUUUUUGAAGAAGAACAUUUAUUGUAAUUUAAAAGGACACUAUUGAAUAAUUUUAUAAUGGAUUUUAGUUUUAUAUUUUAAAAUUUGUUGUUUGUGCCCAAUUCUGUAAUUUGUAGGCUAAACUUCUGUUGACUUCAAAGGUAGUUUUGGAUGGCAAGGAAUACAGGAUUGAUCCCUCAGUGCCUGGACCUGAGCUCAUAUUCCAGGCACUCAAUUCUUAUGAGGAUCGGGCCUGAUCCUGCAAUAUUUAGGCAUCUGUUUAAUUUUACACACUCUGAAUAUUCUCACUGAAGUCAGUGGGAAAAUCACGUGUGUGAAUCUUUGCAAAAUUGGGCUGUUGUUUGCAACAUACUUUUUGAAAGCUGAAGAUAUUUCCUAUCCUUAGGGGUCUACCUACUUGGAUUCCUUUACAAUUGGUGCCUCUGUUAUUCUAUACUCUCAAAAUUUGGCAACAUUGAUUUUUCUCUCUCUGUAAUGUCAAUGAAGCUGAAAUUAACAUGGUUUUAACUGUAUCAUGAACAACAAAACAUUUUCAUUUCCUAGCUUAUGUAUUUUAUUAUGCAAGAACUAGGAGCUGUUUUAAGCCCUACCUACACUAAUCUUUAAACAGACACUGGCAACCAUGUUUAAAGUAAUUUCAUAAACAUAUUUCCAUCUAAAUGGAAUACAUUUUAAAACAUGGUUCUAAUAUGGUUGGUUGCCAUCUGUGCAGCCUAUCCAGUGUUUAGAAACGAACUCUGUUGAACCCCAGUGUGGAUGGGCCCAUAAUAUGGGCCCCUAGGUACUAUGAUAAUAUAAAAAUAAAUGAUAAUUAUAUAACAAUAACAUAUUAGCAGCUUUCUUUCUGUCAGUGUAUCCCCUCCAUUCUCCUACCUGACUAGUGCUUCCACAACUGCCAGCAUGAGAGAGAAUGUUGUUGAGGGUGCUCAUAAUAUUGUCAAAAGACCAAAACAAGACAACAUCCUUUUCAGAAGAGUAUUAUUAUUAUUAUGGAUUUUGGGGAAAAAACUGUAUUUUAUAAAAUAAUGUUUUGUCAUUAGCCUUUAAAAACACCUUGGUUGUCCUGUCAAAUUUCUCAGUGCCUCCUACAUCUGUGUGCUACACUGGUCCCUGAAACUGCCGCAGAUCAAGACAUCUUCAUUUUCAGGUGCACUGGGAUUACCAAAGGAUGUCAGCACAACAUUCAAAUUAACUGGCCUGAUCCUGUUCUAGAUUAGCCAUUUACUACACUUGGAGAAAGAUUGGGCCCAAUGUUUGCAUGUUAACUGUUGAUUCUGAAAUAUAAACAAUUUUCUCCCAAAUAGAAUUAAAGCCAGUGCAAGAUGGUGCAUUACAUUA